AUUAACUGACAGACCGCAAGAGAAAAACAAACCUUAGUUUCAUUAUUUUUGGGAAGAACUGAGAGGGAGAUCGAGAGAGGGGGACAUUGCCUUUUGAACUACCGUAAAAGUGAACGUCAAAGUGAGGAGCACAAAGUUGAAGACCAACAAGGUAAAGGGAGUAACUAAAAUAUCUAUGUGUUGAGUUGUAUGAUUGUCUUGGUUCUCUUCUUGUUUAUUUUUUUCGUUUCUUCGUCGUGAUUGGAAAGGGUGUGGCCACUGAAUAUAAGGGGGUUUCGGGUUGUAGAGUAGGUGAAAAGGAAAAGUAUGGGUUAUGCAUAAGUGCGUAGGUUGCCCUGGGUUAAGUGGGUUGUAGUUAUUAAAGAUACGAUAUAUUGUAUAUUUAUAGGGUUUAGUUGGCACCGGAUGAGGUUCAUAAAGGUUUAGUUGGCUCUUUGAUAAGAACACAUUUGAGUGGUUAGCAUGGGUUCUUAAAGAGAAAAGAAAGUGUAGAAAAGACACUAGUGUAAAAACGCUGUUUAACGUCGGUUAAUUUGGGCUUUUAACGUCACUUUCACAUUCGACGUCUAUACGGGUGACGUCUAUGGGACGUCGCAAUUCCUCAG
rnacentral:lncRNA from 1 species